rnacentral:rRNA from 1 species
UGGGGAAUAUUGGACAAUGGGGGCAACCCUGAUCCAGCAAUGCCGCGUGUGUGAAGAAGGUCUUCGGAUUGUAAAGCACUUUCGACGGGGACGAUGAUGACGGUACCCGUAGAAGAAGCCCGGCUAACUUCGUGCCAGCAGCCGCGGUAAUACGAAGGGGGCUAGCGUUGCUCGGAAUGACUGGGCGUAAAGGGCGUGUAGGCGGUUUACACAGUCAGAUGUGAAAUCCCCGGGCUUAACCUGGGAGCUGCAUUUGAUACGUGUAGACUAGAGUGUGAGAGAGGGUUGUGGAAUUCCCAGUGUAGAGGUGAAAUUCGUAGAUAUUGGGAAGAACACCGGUGGCGAAGGCGGCAACCUGGCUCAUGACUGACGCUGAGGCGCGAAAGCGUGGGGAGCAAACA